rnacentral:rRNA from 1 species
CACUAGCGUAUAUUAAUGUUGUUGCAGUUAAAAGCUCGUAGUUGGAUUCCUGGCUCGGGGUAACCGGUCCGCCUUGCAAAAGGUGCGCACUGAGUGGCCUCGGCCAUCCUUGGGAAGAGCGGUCCUGGCAUUCGGUUGUCGGGGUCGGGAUUCCCGACGUUUACUGUGAAAAAUCAGAGUGUUCAACGCAGGCUUACGCCUUGAAUACAUUAGCAUGGAAUAAUGAGAUAGGACCUUGGCGGUCUAUUUUGUUGGUUUGCACGCCGAGGUAAUGAUUAAAAGGGACGGUUGGGGUUCUUCGUAUUCAAUUGUCAGAGGUGAAAUUCUUGGAUUUAUCGAAGACGAACUGCUGCGAAAGCGUCGAACAAGGACGUUCUCAUUAAUCAAGAACGAAAGUUAGGGGAUCGAAGACGAUUAGAUACCAU